CCUGUUCCCGGGAAUGGCAGGGGCGCCCGCGCGAGGAGGGUCGCCGGGACAGCCGCCUCUCCUCCAAGCUGGAGCAGCCGUGACCCAGAUUACGACCGCGGCGGCCUCGCCCUGCCUAAUCCCCCCCUCUUCUUCCUCCAGGGGCACCCUUUGGAGAAGAACCCCAGCCUGGGGUGGGGACGCACCGGCUCUCCGACAGCUCAAACACAGACAGAUCUUCUAGAGCCGAGGGAAUUUCUUUUCGCAGAAGCCAUUACUCCCCCCGAGAGAAGGCUGCAAAGCUGGGAAGCCCAGGGUGUGCUCCUCCCGCCCUUUUGGACCCCCGGGCUUGCACCGGCUGCACUCUGAGAACCAGCUGCGCGCGGAGCGGUGCAAUGCAGCACCCACCCUGCGAGCCUGGCAAUUGCUUGUCAUUAAAAGAAAAAAAAAUUACGGAGGGCUCCGGGGGUGUGUGUUGGGGAGGGGAGACCGAUGCUUCUAACCCAGCCCCCGCUUU
rnacentral:antisense_RNA from 1 species